ensembl:lncRNA
AAUGUUGGCUGCAGACAAUUAAUGUGGAGAGCAGUAGCCUAGAGCUAAGCCUUUGUGUUGAGACAAAUGGAGCAAGGGGUGGUAUACUGCACCCUGUGUUAUCCACCCUACGAUCCCUGCAUCUGGGCGUACAGGCACAUCUGAGGUGAGGUGAGAUGUGCUGGGCUGCAGGUACAACUGCUUCCAGAUCUAGAUGGAGGCAACUGCACAUUGUCUGCAUUUAUGGCUAUGAAGAGGGAGGAUGACGUGACAAAAAGCUCGUGAACGCUUUCUGCAGGCUGGAUGGGAAGUGCAGCUGAGGAUUUUGCGCAAGCAUCAGCAGUGCAGAGCCGUCUGUCUCUCUUUUGGAGACAAAAAACAUAGUAUUGGAAUUGUCCAUCCUUCCAGGACUGCCACAAUCUUCAUACAAUGGCCAUCACGUUUAACUGAAAAGAGGUUAAAACCCUCAGAGAUGCAGACUGCCGCUCUUUAGGGGUAUUUCCUUCCUGGCAACAUGAUCGAUAAACCAUUAGGUAACUCUGAUGACUGUGCAAAAAUCAGCCUUUUUCCUCCUCCUCUCUCCCAGCGUUGCUUCCUGAAUGCUAAGAAGAGGUUAAGGAAGAGCACUGAAUGCUGCGGGUUGCCACCACUGUGCAGUGUGGGCAGUCAGUUCACAGGGGAGCCUAUGGGGCAGGAACACCCAUGGAAAACGUGGACAAAAAAAGCCCACAGUGCUCCUGCUGUGAUGAAGGGGAUGGAGACUGGCUGUUGCUCCUUGAAGACCACCAGAGCAGGGAGCUUCCUCCUCGCUUGAAGCGUCUAAGAGCUCUGCAAGGCGCUGGGAGAAAACCAGCCUCCAUCACCAACUUCAGGGGUUGGAAAAUAAUUGGAAAAGAAUCCCCCAUGUAUUUUUUCUUCUAUGACUCAUGAAUUUCAGUGGGGUCCCUCAGCGCACAUCUCUCCAUGGGGUCACAGUGCCUUGUGGCAGGCAGCUGUGUCCAGUCGGGACCCAGUUCUAGGGGAGAGCGGUGACAGUGUGACCGCAGGGAGCAGCGGUAUGCAGCCCGAGAAGGGCUCCUCGGCUGCUUUCUGCUUGUUUUCAUUACUUCCAAAUGAAUGCACAGCCUUUAUUGAAAGUCGCUUGUUUUCAGUGCAGCUUCCUUUUGAGGCAGGUGUGACAGUCAGCAUUGCUCUGGGCCUUACACCAUGCUCAGUUCUCCAGGCUUCCGGCUGCAGCUCCUCAAGUCAAAACCCACACAGACAACAUAGAUGUUCCUGUGGGCUUUCUAUGUCCGGCGAGGGUCAGCUGUGGGUUAGGGAAAGGCUGUGCCCCAGAGGGCAGUGGGCAUGGAACAGCCUGCCCAGGGCAGUGGGCAUGGCCCCAGUGCUGAGGCUCAGGGAGUGCUGGGAUGCCGCUCUCAGACAUAGGGUACGUGGGGCUGAAGGGCCCUGCCAGCCCACAGCAGGCCACGGCCCUGUGCCCGCUGUGGCUUGACUCAAAGCAUUCCAGAGAGGAAUAAAUACAGGUUAAGUACUAAAAUCCUACUGAAACCGUGCAGGAGCUGAGUGCUCAGUUCCCUCAAGAUUUUUUAGGCAGGUGGAAUAUAUCUAUCUAAGCCAAGGAAAAGGACACCAGGCUUCCAACCCUAGCUCUGCUUAAGGUCUGUUACUGCAAAUAACCUUGUACAAAGUGGAGUAGAUAACCUGAUUAAUUCUGCUUGCCAUUCAAGCUUGCAUUAAAUAAGACGUGUAACUUCAGACAGAAAGCCAGCCAUUCUUCUGUUCUAACAGUCUGCUGUCAACGCAGGACAAUAAAAUAUGAAUAUUUUAGAUUCAUAGUGCAGACAAAUAGGAAAUAGGAGCUGUAUUGUGCUUCACAUGCACGGCUAGCUCAGUAAUGCUAACGUGAUUAUCUCAUUGAACUUUUGUGCCAUCGCUUAAGGGCAGCUUUGUCUUGCUUAGCUGGGAUGUACAUAUUUGUUUCUUCCAUGCAUAGCUCCAUAGUCUUUUUUAAGCUUGUGGAAAUGGGAAAAUCUGAUUUUCCUCCUCAGCCACAAGGUAGCAUCAUUCCUUGGCAUUGCUUGGACCAGUACGUCUUAAGUGCAAUUUUUACAGGUUCCUACCAAAAUAUUUUAAUGUCUGCAGCUAGAUUUCCAGACAGAAACAUGGGAAAAUCACACCAGAAUUUAAAAUAUGAAUUAUAGCGUGGUUCACUCUCUGUAACAGAGAGACAAGGAGGGUAAUCAAAACAUGAAAUAUUCUGAUUCAUUCCUCUCCCUAAGCAGAAAAAAAAUGUUUUCAGGAUUAGUGGGGGUUUGGUCUAGAUGGGCUGCCAUUUGGUUAUUCAGCUGUGAGAUUCAUUACCUGGGCAGGCUGGCUUUGCCAGCCCUGAGAUCACAGCAAUAGCAUGCACCUGACGUGGGGUGGCAAAAAAAGCUGGGUGAAUUCAACUCUAAUGAAAACAUCUUGCCACACUGACCCAAAAAACCAUCAAUCUGAGUACUCAGUUCCCUUUUUAAUAUCUAAAUCCUUUUAUUUUCUCUGUGCUGGAUUUGUUUUAUAUUUCCCUUUUAAGUUAGCACUUUGUGUGGGGGUGGAUGUUACGAAGACCAGUUUUGAUGGAAAGUAGAUUGAGCCUUGAAGACUUUCAUCACUGCAUUAUAGCUCUGCUCCCUCCACCCCUCACUGAUAUCCCUCCAUUUACAUGAGUAUUGGACAGGACUUAGGAAUCAGCCCUGACUUGGCCAGUUUUAUUGGGUUUAUGUGGCAAUGUUUUGGUAGCAGGAGGCUGCAGGUGUGGCUUGUGUGAAUAGGCCAAGACCUGCCCCAUCUUAAAUCAAAGCCAGUUCCAACCAGCUCUAAAGGUGACCGACUGCUGCCCACAGCUGAGCCAAUCGGUGAUGCUGGUGGCACCUCAGCGAUAACACACUUAAGAAAGGGUAAAAUACAUUCUGCAGCAGUUGUGAGAGAGAGGAAUGAGAAAAUGUGAGAGAAAACUCUGCAGACACCAAGGUUAGGGAAGAAGGAGGGGGAAGAGGUUCUCUAGGCACCGGAGCACGCAUUUCUUGACAGCCCAUGAAGAGGACCAUGGUGAUGGAAGCAGACCAUGGAGGAACCCAUGCCACAGCAGGUGGAUAUCCUGAAGGAAGCUGAAGCCAGCCAACACAGGAGCAGGCUGGAGCUGUAUCCAUGCAGAAGGGACCAUGCUGGAGCAGUCUCCUGUUUAUGGAUGGUACCUUGCACAGAGGACCCGUGCUGUAGCAGUUCUUGAAGGAUUGCUUCCCAUGGGAAGGACCCCAUUCUGGAGCAGGGGAAGAGUGUGAGGAGGAAGGAGUGACAGAUGUGGACUGCUGGAACUGACAGCAAUGCCCAUUCUCCAUCCUCUGUGCUGCUCCUUCACCCUGCUAUGGUCAUGUCCCAGGGCAAAUAAUGGCUGUGCAUCCAGCCUCUGUCCUUUCUUCCCUUAGAGUAUUUACAGGCAGAUUUAACAGUUCCUCAUUGACUGAAAGGGUUCAAUAUGCUAGCGAAACUUAAAAAUUCAAAUGAUUAUUAACAAUUUUAAUGAACUUUGUCAUAAAAUGUAACUAUAAAGAAUGCCC